AUUGAACGCUGGCGGCAUGCCUUACACAUGCAAGUCGAACGGCAGCACGGGAGCAAUCCUGGUGGCGAGUGGCGAACGGGUGAGUAAUAUAUCGGAACGUGCCCAGUCGUGGGGAUAACGUAGCGAAAGCUACGCUAAUACCGCAUGCGAUCUAUGGAUGAAAGCGGGGGAUCGCAAGACCUCGCGCGAUUGGAGCGGCCGAUAUCAGAUUAGGUAGUUGGUGAGGUAAAGGCUCACCAAGCCGACGAUCUGUAGCUGGUCUGAGAGGACGACCAGCCACACUGGGACUGAGACACGGCCCAGACUCCUACGGGAGGCAGCAGUGGGGAAUUUUGGACAAUGGGCGCAAGCCUGAUCCAGCAAUGCCGCGUGCAGGAUGAAGGCC
rnacentral:rRNA from 1 species